ensembl:lncRNA
ACCUGGUUCCACACUACAAAGACGCAGAGGACACCCGACCACCAGACCACUGUACUGGUUUCAGUCCGUGGUCAGCUGGCUCCAAGGCAGAAUGGUAGAAAACCAUGGCAGACAAAAAGGUGUUCAAGCUAAGGCAUCCAGGCAGCAGGGUGAGAAGGGAGGAACUGAGGACAAGGACUCACCCUUCCAGGUCACGCGCCAGGGACCACCUCCAACCAGACCCUACCUUCUACAGCACAUUGAGCUAUGGACUCAUGGAUGGACAAACCCACUGAAGAGAAUAGCACCACCAUGAUCCAAUCACUCGCUAAACAGAAACUGUGCAUAAACAGAUUUUCCUGAGCUCCUUGCUUCUCUAAUCUCUCCAGGAAUCAUGCCCGAAGGCCUCCUUCCCCAAAUAAACACACAACACAGUCUGUUUCAUGGGCAAUUUUGAAACAGGAUGAUGACUUUCUGACACAACAAGACUAAUUUUGCAAGGAAGUAGGAUGACAGAGGGAACUUGCUAAGGGAGUAUUUUUGGGGGGAAUUAUGGGGAAUGGCAUGGCAGAAGAAUCUCAUACAGCAGUGAAGGAAAAUGUGGACACUUCCCUCCAAAUGGGAAGGGUAAAAUCUUUACUUCUUGAAAGAGAAAUGAUGAUAUAACUCAGGUGAAUGAUUAUUGUGGGCCUCAGGAAGUAUAUGGCCCAUCAUCUAUUUUGAUAAUUGAACUUUCAUGGAA